UGGCGGCCUUAGCGCGGUGGUCCCACCUGACCCCAUGCCGAACUCAGAAGUGAAACGCCGUAGCGCCGAUGGUAGUGUGGGGUCUCCCCAUGCGAGAGUAGGGAACUGCCAGGCA
rnacentral:rRNA from 1203 species